GAGGAUGUGGUGAAAUUUGGUAAACACAACGGACUUAAAAUCCGUAAGUUUUUUAUUAAACUUUAAGGGUUCAAGUCCCUUCAUCCUUA
rfam:Eimeria tenella Houghton genomic scaffold, Eth_scaff37